CUGAAUUUUGUUUAUAGGCGGCAACCUCUUGAGGGGUUCCCAUUCUUAUUGGUUUAUUGAAGCGAAGAGUGGCAGGAGAAUGAUCCAAUAGUGGGGAAAACUAGAGGUUCGCGGCGCGAGGCGCCCAAUGUGGGCUUUCUGUUGAAGAAGUAGGGGCGGGGGGAAGUUUAGGAGUUGAGGAAAGAAGAUUAAAGAGCGUGAGGAGAUACAUAGAAAGAAGUGUUGAGAAGUGUCCUUUGAGUGUCUGAAGGCUGAAGGUACAGAAGUACUAAAGAUGUACUCUUAAACCUCAUAUCUCAUCAGCUCUUUCUGAAGAAUACCAGCUAAAUUGCAGUCUGUGUCUCAUAGCUGAACAGUAUAUGACAAGAAGACUCGGAAUUUCAAAAGGCUGUUUCUGAAUCCUCAUCUGCCAACCAAGAGCCAGCUGAAAGGCAAGAGCCACAGAGAACUGUUUUCAUAUAUAUGUAUUUGUUUUUAGACAAAUGUGUUUGUUGGAAGGUCUAUACACUAUGGAA